ensembl:lncRNA
UCAGGGUUUCCAGAGAAACAGAACCAAUAGAAUGUGUAUGUAUAAAGAGACAGAUUUAUUAUAAGGAAUUUGGCUCCUGAUUAUGGAGGUGGGAAAGUCCCAAGAUUUGCAGAAUUAGUUGGCUAGCUGGGGACCCAGGAGAGCCAAUGGUUUCGUUUCAGUCUGAGUCCAAUGGACUGAGAACCAGGAGCGUCGAUGGUUCCUGUCUGAGCUGGAAGCCUCAAGACCUAGGAAAGGCUGAUGUUUCACUUUAAGUCCAAAUGCAUGGAAAACCUGUUAUCUCAGCUGAAAGGCAGCCAGGCAGGAAAGAAUUAUCUCUGACUUGGGGGCCAAUCAGCCUUUGUAUUUGAGGCCCACCCACAUUAGGGAAGGCAGUCUGCUUUACUCGGUCUACUGAUUUGAAUGCUAAUCUCAUUCAGAAACACCCUUAUAGAAAUACUCAAAAUAAUAUUUGACCAAAUAUCUGGGGUCCUCAUGGCCCAGUCAAGAGGAUACAUAACAUUAAACACCACAAUGGCAUAUUCAUCCAUUCUCCUAUUGAUGGGAAUUUGCUUAUUUCCAGGAUUUUGCUGCUAUAACAUUCUAGUACCUGAAUCCUAGAAAAUAUCCAGGAUCACAGUUGCUUUAGUGGAAGGGUGACAUUCUGAAACACCUUAGAGCCUGGAGUCAGCACUUCAUCGUCACAUGGGCCAAAAGCAUAUCUCUAAUAGAAACUUCUAAGAAGGCUCUGAUGACAAGGACUGAGACUUUCUAUUAAAAUAUGGUGUAUGAAAAGCUAUUUGUCGAGAAAAACAAUAUGAGGAAAAUUGGCCAAAAAAUUGCAUUUCGUCUCCCAUGCACGGAGCUAUUUUUAUUAAACGAUGGAAUGUUAUUACCAUCUGUAAGUCUGCAGUCCUAUAUUCCACCACAGUCUGACCUAAUUCUGCCAGAAUCUGGAGCACGGCAGAACCUGAGAGUGGUCGACGGGACCAGCAGGAUGAGAAGUUGUCUCAAAAUCCUUCUCUCUCAAGAAACCUUCCCUGAGUAACUCUAACCCAUUCUGAGAGCAGGUGCGAAGCGUAUGUGCCUUGAAUGAAUGAGGAACGCUCCUUCUAUGUGGACAAGUUAGAUACAAGUGCCCUCCUUUGAGCAGACGCGGCCCCUGGGGACCACAGCCUGGCAAGCAGACAACAUCUUUGUGAGAAGAAAAUGGCACUCCUUCUGAAGCAGCUCCUGCUGGUGCACACAGCGUGGGGAGUGACAGAGGGACUGGGCUUCAGUCCACAUGCACCCUCUCAGCCAGGCAUCUUUACACAGUGCACGAACUAGACAACAGUACCAAGGAAGCCCUGUUUACUGUGAUCAUUCAUUUUCUCCACAGCUGUCCAGAACUUACACAUACUUAAACAUAGUGGAGUCUUCCAGCAGAGCUCCAUCAGAUCAGAUACUGAAUGUGUAAAUCUGGCAGCAGCUGCCUAAACAUCUAUUUGUGUUCGUUAAUGUGUGUUGUGACUAAAGGAGAGGGGAAAUUAGGUGAUCCAGAACCAACUGGGCGAAGACACAGGAAAACAGGAAAUUGAAAAUGAUAUCUUGCCUGUGUUCCAACUGUUCCUAGAUACUUUUCCCUGGGGGCUAUGAAAUAUUCUUCACCAGAGAUCAUGGAACAGGAUCUCUGACUAAACCUGACAUGCCGAAUAGCCAUUGUAUUUCAUCUUCAAAAUGAUACAGGAGAAAGAGGUGACAAAUGGAAAGGAAGUAUGCUACCCACAGUUCAGAGCCUGUGGGGAAAUCUACAAGGAGUAGCAGUCCUGAAUGGGUUCUCUGAUGUGCUGUUUCCAAGUGAGUAUCAGUUCACCAUGUGCAAUGCUGAAGUUCAGUAGUCUGUUUUUCUUUGAACAUCUAAAAUUACAUUUAUGACAUUAUAAAAAUUAAUUAGAAUUUCACUUAAAAUUGCUUCA